UCCCUGCUCUUGUUUGUAGGCUGCACCUGAUUUUCAGGAGACAAGGCCUCGAAAUUAUGUUCUUUCUGCCAGUGCAUCAGCGUUGCUGAGUGAGGAAGUGGACAAAGCAGAGCAUGAACUCCGUGUCGCUCAGACAGAGUUCGACCGACAGGCUGAGGUCACCAGACUGCUGCUAGAGGGAAUCAGUAGCACACAUCUCAACCACCUGCGGUGUUUGCAGGAUUUUGCGGAGGCUCAGGCCACUUACUAUGCCCAGUGUCAUCACUACAUGCAGGACCUGCAGCGGGAGCUCAACAGGUGAGGAUUC